AUGGCGUGUAAAAGAAACCUGAGUUUUACUACUCCCGUGAGUAAUAGGGCUUUGCAACCAGCAGCAAGCCCACUGAGCAUAAAUGAUUUAAUGAAACAGCUGAUCUCCGGUCAGAACGCUUUGUCUCGUCAGCUUGAGGGUUUGAUGGAGAAGCAAGCUGCAAACACUGUUCUUCUCGAAGAUGCUAUCCAGCGUCUUUGUGCUCUUGAGCGAAAGUUUGACGAGCAAAGACCGCAAGAGGAACAAAGACCGCGGGAAGAGCCAUUACAUAAAAGGAUAAAGAGGGCGCACAACGUGGGCAUUGCGGAAGCUGUAAGGCGCCUUCACAAUUCGGAAAACAACCCACAUAAAUAUGAUCCACAAACUGGAAUAAGUUUGCCUCGUAACCAAGCAGUCAUGACUUAUCAGCUAGAGGAAUUGAAAUCAACUUUUGCAGAUGCAGACCCUGAGUGUAUACAAGGUAAUUUUAAAAUGUUUGUUUAACAAUUUUAAUGUCCAUAAUUUUAGUCUCUUAUAUUUUGUCCAUCUUAUGAUUUCAAUAGUGUAGUUUCUGUCACUUAUCUGAAUUUUCUUUUAUUCAGCGUGUUGCAAGACAUACUUUGAAACACUUCGGAGUAAGUACAAUUUGUCUCAGCCAGAAAAGUCCCAGCUAAGAGAUGCCAUUAAAACAGGAGCUAAAAAACCGACAAAGGAAAAGACGGGUAAGUGUAGAAAUUCAUCAACUUGUCUUUAAAGGGAUAGUUCACCCCAAAUUGAAAAUUCUGUUAUUUUC
rnacentral:lncRNA from 1 species